CCACAAAACAAUUUACGUGACAUUACGAUAGAGUUACAAUCCAAAUGUGACUUCCGCAACCUCAGCGUGUUUUCUCGCCCACCAACUGGUUCUUCUGGUGCGUUUGCUAUGUUCGCACCCCUUUGGCAGUGUAAGAAAAAUGAGACUUGUUGGCUUGAGAAAAAACGGAUGACUUUUGCUCUCUUUUGUUUCCACGUGAAAUGCAAUUUAAGGCCGUCGCCCAAUGCGGCCUGGUGAGAGAAUGUGCCGCCAAGCAUUGUGGAUAGUUUUUUUCUUUUGAAUAUCAGUCACUCAACAUGUCCUGUCAGGCCUACUGUGCCCACAUGCUUCUUUGACGUGUGCUUUAAACACACCUCAUCUGCUACUUGUUGUUAACAUGGAUGCAGACACGGCUUACUCGUAUAGUGUACACACAAUAGAAGUACAGAUACUUGCAUUAAAAAAAGUGUAGACUCUGAAGUGUACUUAAGAAUACAAGUAAAAUUAUUUUACUUUUACUGUUACAAUUCACAUUUGAUAGCUUGAUAUUUUAAGUUUUUUUUUUUUUUUAACCAAUAACUACCCAGCGUUGGCGCGUAUGUUUUAUGCUAGCAAAAUGCCUUCCAAUACGUUUGCUAGCAUCGUGACCCAAUAACGAAAAUUGCUAGAUGAGCGAAUGAUAACUGACAAAUACAGAGUAACUUUGGUUCGCCAAUUAAAUUUGUUCUGUGGGGUAAUUUUUCUUUUCCUUUCUUGCUCUUUGCUACUAUAAAAGUAGGUUGCAACUUGGCUAUCGCAGGAAAACAGUUGAGAACCACAAAUGUGGACCAUGUUUGCUACUUGAAAUGUAAAUGCCACAUUAGCACAUCGUGCUACUCGUGUGUGUCCACAGUUAAUGGCUUGUCAAGCUGACACAGCGAGACGUCUUGCACAGGAAGUGUGAAAUACGCUCUCUCUCUCUCUCUCACACGCACACGCACAGGCACAGGGUCGGGCCAGCCGGGAGACCGGAGCGAUCCGGAUCACACAAUGGCAACGAGGAAUAUCAAACAACACAGCCAUUUUUUGGGUGGGCUGCACUGCGAAACUUUUGUUGAAGGACAGGGAGAAGGAGGAGAAGAAGAAUAACAAAGAAGGCGGGGCAGCCACAGCGAUGCCUUGACCUGUUCCAUGUGCUAAAAUGCUAACAUGAUGUUAGCAACUUAAAUGAUGUCACAGUAGCUACUUAUGGUGAUGAUGUUAGCUCCUUGUUGUCUGUAUGACAUAAGAAAUUUGUAUAGCUAUACUUGUAUAUAUUGUGGUGGCGUGUGAUGUCAUUGUUAGCUAUUUUUUGUGUAGAUGGUCGCUACUAGUAUCAGGGAUGUUAGCGACUUAUUGGCAUGUUCAUAAAUAUGCUCCGAGCGUUCACUCCGACUGUUCCGAAACACAGACCAUUGUCGAAAUGAACAGUUCGGUUAUUCAGAGUGCACCAACACCAGAAUACCGCGGAAAGUUCUAGGCGCACCAAACUGGGGACAUGGUGCAUGCCAGUGCGUCAGGCAGCACAAAUAGAAAUGGCUAAAGCAUGAGAUGCUAUUUGGUUCAAACCAUAGAUUGCAUUCGGAAAUUAACAGGAGCUGGACCUUGCGCUGCCUUUCCCGAUGAUGUUUUCUACUUGUAACGUAGAGAUGUUGGCUACAUGUUCUACAAAGGAAGCUACCAGAUGUCGAUACGAUGUUAUGUAUAGAAAAUUGGGGGGGGGGGGGUAAUUUUAUAGAUGUGGCUUGUAUAGAGUACUUUAGCAAUAUGUACGUGCCUGUUGUGUAGACGUUUGCGACUUCUUGGGAAUGUUAGCAACUUAUAUCGAUGUUAGCAACAUGUAUAGCUGAUUUUUGCUACUUGUUAUAACCUACUUGUCAGUGUUCACUACUAGCUGUAUAGACAAUGUUAGCUACUUGUUCUGUAGACAAUUUUUGGUACUUCCAUAGGUUAUAGCUACUUGUGUCAAUGUCAGCUACUUGUAUAGACUUCUAGCAAUGUGAGCAAUUGUGUUGCCAUUAGUUGCUUGUUGUCUUCGGGAUGUAUGCAUAAAUGACAUUGUCUAAUUAUAGAUGAGACAAAGCUAGCAAUUUAUGAGCUUUCGAAUCCAAAAAAUGCUAACAUGGCAGAAAUUGGCUUUGAUCAUCACACCUUCCUGUGUUGCUAUCGUCACAUGACUAGCGCGUGUGCUCUUCUAUCAAAGCUGGACAUUUGAUUUUUCUUUUUUAAUUGGGGGAGUUUCAUGCAGGAAAUUGGAUUUAAUCCUCAAGAUCCUAAACUUCCUGUGUCCUCAUAUGCCGCAUAACCGUUGUACCAAACAUACGUGUGAACUUUUUCUCACAAGGGUCUUCUUAUGAUCGUAGAAUGAUGGUGUUUUAAGGGAGCAUUCCGUGCUAAAAUGCCAAUAUGGGAAAACAGACUCAGAUCUUCAUAGUGAAAAGCUUCCUGUGUGCUUAUCGCCGCAUGAACAGCACACGUGCCGUGAAAUCGAACACACUCGUGUGAAUUUUGACAUCUUUCACCCCCAACCCCUCACAAGGGUCUUCUUAUGUUACUAGAAGGGUGGUGUGAAGGAGCCAUGGGAAGGGAGUAGGUUGGCAGCGUUGGUUGUUGCAGUUUUGGUGUCUGUUGCAACCACCGCACGUCAAACCGGUCUCUCGGUGCGUGUCCUGACUGCUCUGGUUGCUGUGUUUUUUUUCCAUUCUUUUUUUCUCAUUGCCUAAAGAAAUGCUGGCACAGGUCCGACUUGUUAUGCAAUCGGGGGAGGAAAUGAAGGACGGGGAGAGAGGGGGCGUCAGGAUGGUCCCACAAAUCUCCUGCCUUGCAUAAAAAGAUGAAUUAAACUGAAACAGAUAAUGAUGGCACUUUAAAUUAGCAGGAUGGAAGCAGGUAAACCAUGGUUGUGGUGGGCGUGGCUGCGCACGAGGACGACGAGUAAGACGUGACCAGGCGACCCGGAUGCGGCAGUGCCGCCACGUGGCCAGAUCAGGAACAGACAGACAGGGGCAAAGAUGAUCCUUCCCACAAUCCAUCGCUGCGACGGAUUACGGCGGUUUGAGCCACUUUGGGUGAUCACAGCCUGAGACGGGGGUUAAUCCUCACAAAGCAGACACACACACACACAAACAUGUAAACAAAUUGCAAGACAAAAAUUGUUACCUCAGCCAAGGAAGUUUUUAGUUUUGUGGUUUUGGUAUGUGUUCACCUGUGUGGAUGUAUAGAUGGAUUUCAGAUUGUCAAUGGCCACAACACAAUUAGUGAUAGAUUUCUUUUCUAUUUUCAUUUAUUUUACAUGCUCUAUACUUUUGAAUGUAAAAAUUGCAUUUUUAAUUAGCAUAUUUUAAAAAGGAUACUAAAUGAAAUAUUUUUUUACAUUUUAAAUAAAUUCCACAUUACAUUAGCCAUAAUAUUAUGACUGAGUAUUAUUUAUUCCGGGUUCAUCUUUUUCCCCAAUCACAUUAAACUAGAAUAAGAACUAAUUUUAUGUAUGG